UGGAAAGUUCUAAAACUGGGACGUGUC
rnacentral:piRNA from 1 species